GCCAGUUUCAGUCUGUCCAGUCCAGAGAAAGACAACCCCGCCUGGUACCUGGGACAGCCUAUCUGGCACACAGCGAAGCAUCACGGGCUGAAGUCUGGGACUUUCUUCUGGCCAGGAUCAGACGUCAAAAUCAACGGGAGCUUUCCCGACAUCCACAAACCGUACAAUGGUAAAGUGCCGUUUGAGGAGAGAGUUUUCACCGUGCUGAAGUGGCUCCAGCUGCCAGACGAUGAAAG